rnacentral:rRNA from 1 species
UGGGCAGGUUGAAGGUUGGGUAACACUAACUGGAGGACCGAACCGACUAAUGUUGAAAAAUUAGCGGAUGACCUGUGGCUGGGGGUGAAAGGCCAAUCAAACCGGGAGAUAGCUGGUUCUCCCCGAAAGCUAUUUAGGUAGCGCCUCGUGAAUUCAUCUCCGGGGGUAGAGCACUGUUUCGGCUAGGGGGCCAUCCCGGCUUACCAACCCGAUGCAAACUGCGAAUACCGGAGAAUGUUAUCACGGGAGACACACGGCGGGUGCUAACGUCCGUCGUGAAGAGGGAAACAACCCAGACCGCCAGCUAAGGUCCCAAAGUCAUGGUUAAGUGGGAAACGAUGUGGGAAGGCCCAGACAGCCAGGAUGUUGGCUUAGAAGCAGCCAUCAUUUAAAGAAAGCGUAAUAGCUCACUGGUCGAGUCGGCCUGCGCGGAAGAUGUAACGGGGCUAAACCAUG